GAAAGUUCUGUUGGAAUCACCUUGUAGCAGCUGAAGAUGAAAUUAGUGCUUCGAAUAUUGAAUCCCAUAGUAUGCUGACUAUCUGAGUCCCCACUUUCGCAUGUUUGAUUCCAAUGCUGACCAAGUAGAUGUCAACCUUGUGUUUGUCUUCAGCUGUAUCAAAGAAUGCCUGUGCCAAAUUAUGGUGCCAGCUUGUCUGGCCAAUAUUUUGAAGCCUAUCUAUUUACUCGGAGGUGCGUAUUUCACACGUUGGACUCUGUUUGCUACCCACAUAAGACGUACUUGUGAAAGAAUGACUAUUCUACAUUUGAGGUUCUGACCAAUUUCGUCCAUGUUAAUAACAUUUCUUUCUAGAAAAUCUUUGGUACUUAUCGAUAUAUUCGUAUGGAACAUGCUCAAUUCAUCUCAAGGUGAAUGCUGAACCAGAAUGGCAGAUUGUGGGUGUAAUGCCAAAUCUAACCCUUCUGCAAAACUUUCAAUCACAUGAUCAAAUUAGAGCUGGAGCAGUGUGCAUAAAGUUGGCUGAAUGGAAUGGGAGCAGUUUGAUCAAGGAAGCAAGAGCUUUUGCGAACCAGUUGUUACAAUUAUGACACAAACGUAGCAGAACACAAGGAGAAAAUAUAGUUGGUGUGUUUCAAGUUACAAGACCAAUUAGGUAGAAAAGAUGUGUGUUAUUUUGCAUGUUAGGCUGCGAAGCCAAGUCCAUAGCGGUGCUAUAUGUCGCCGAGAGAUAGAUCCCUGUGGAUUUACCUGAUGAUGUCUCUGUUAUUGUUUGUGGGUUUCUCAACCAGGUUACAAUCAGGUUCAAGAUAAGCCUGAAUAAGGGCAAAGAUUUGGACCGGGCUGGAAGAAGUAAACAAUAAAUUGGCCUAAAUAAAGGCAAAGUUUUUGUUGGCAAUUCAUGCAAAGGGAAAUGAGUUUUCAGGUAUUGUUGUGAGCAUGGCAUAUUUUUCAUUGCAUUUUGUUGAUUAUCUUUAAUCAGAUUUGGUAGUACGCCUGUAACUUCGGCCGUGUAUCAAUUGGCCGAAAACAGGGUGCAGUUCUUGAUUGCAAGAGCUUUGCCCUACAGAAAGCUAACAUGUUGGAGAACUUGAAUAGGAGCGAUGGCAAACUGGGAUUUGAAAUUUUCAAUGAAGAUGUCCAUUUGAAGUA